GGUGUUAUCGCAUAGCGGCAAUUGCUGGAGACUGUAAAUCUCCUCUCCGAAAGGGGUUCCUUGGUUCGAGUCCAAGUAGCACCA
rnacentral:tRNA from 1 species